AACUCGUGGCCACCUAGCCUAGAGGCGGCUGCCAAGCGUCCUGGCUGAGGGAUGGCGGGACCCCAGGCGGCUGGAGUGGAGAAAGUUGACCGCCCCCGUCUUUUCUGCCCCGUGGGUGGCUACUGCGUGCCCCCAAGUAACCCAGAGAUUGAGGGCCCCCCAGUGCGCGGCGGCCGGGGGUCAGGAUGCGGGACUCCCCUCCACCGCCAUGAUCUCGCAGUGUGGGGGAGCGCUCAGGGACAGAAAUGAGGCCCGAGAUGUGUGCCUUCUCCUUGCUCCUGACCACUGACUUCGUUAUUCCAAAUACGCAGCCGAAACCAUCGCUCUUGCAGGUGCAGCUUUUCUCUGCCUCUCCUAUGUGGAAAGCAGCGCAGCGUGGACUCCAGCCAAACUCCCUCGAUUGGAUUGCAGCUCUCUGGCUCUCUGUCCCUGUGACCUUGGGCAGUUUACCUCCUCUAUGUCUCAGUUUCCUCAGCUGUGCAAAGGGGUUACUGAUCCUGCUUAACGGGGUGGGUUGUUGUGAAGAGGAAAUGAGUUAACAUAAGUAGAGAAAGAGACUGGUGCCUGGCAAGCACUAUGUGAGUGUUUUGAUGUUAUUAUUGCUGUUUUUAUUAGAGCUGUGUGUAACGGGACGUUUAAUGAGCCUUUUCCUGUUACCCUGGAAUUAGUGAGUCAGGGCACAAAGUACACAGUGUUCAUUUCCUCAAGAGGACACAACAAGGCACCAUCUUGGAAGCAGAGAGCGAGCCAUCACUGGACACCAAACCUGCAGGUGCCUUGAUCUUGGACUUCCCAGCCUCUAUAACUCAAAUAUGCGCUGGAAUUAGGAGUCUCGCACUUUACUGGCCCCUCCAGCUGCAGAGAUGACUGGUCACAUUCUCAUGGAUGAAGGUAACGGCAGAGUAGCGAGGGGCUGUGAACCCCCACUGGAGCUGACUGCCCGCCUAGAUCCUGACUCUGCCACUCUCAAGUCCCGUGAUGUGUCUCCGUGCCUUCCUUUCCACAGGGCAAAGGAUAUGCCACCACCCUCCUGUGUCUGAAGCUUGCCCAGCCAGCAGGUCCAGCUCCAGUGCUGCGUCAUGUGAAAGCCUUCCCCACUAUCAUGGCCUGCCCUGGAUUCUCAUGGAAUUAAAUGGACAAGCUGAUUCUAAAAUUCAUAUGGAACUGCAAGGGACACAGAAGAACCAAAGCAGUCUUGGACAAGAACAAUGUUAGAAGACUCACUUCUCCAUUUCAAAACUUACUACAAAACUAUAGUAAUCGGCCAGGUGCGGUGGCUCACGCCUGUAAUCCCAGCAUUUUGGGAGGCCAAGGUGGGCAGAUCACUUGAGGUCAGGAGUUUGAGACCAGCCUGGCCAACAUGGUGAAACCCCAUCUCAACUAAAAAGACAAAAAAUUAGCUGGACAUGGUGGUGGGCGCCUAUAAUCCCAGCUACUCAGGAGGCUGAGGCAGAAGAAUGGCGUGAACCCGGGAGGCAGAGGUUGCAGUGAGCCAAAAUCACGCUGUUGCACUCCAGCCUGGGCAACAGAGCGAGACUCUGUCUCAAAAAAAAAAAAAAAAAAAAAAGUUCAUAACAGCACUAUUCACAAUAGCCCAAAAAUGGAAACAACACAAAUGACCACCAACAGGUAAAUGGAUAAACAGAAUAAAGGAAUAUUAUUUAGCGUCACAGAUAAUGAGGUGUUGAAUGAGGCUACAGCGUGGAUGAACCUGGAAACACUGUGCUAAGAGAAAGACGCCCGACACAAAAGCCCACAUACUGUGUGAUUCCAGUUUUAUGAAAUGUCCAGAAUAGGCAAAUCUACGGAGAGAAAGACGCCAGACACAAAAGCCCACAUGCUGUGUGAUUCCAGUUCUGUGAAAUGUCCAGAACAGGCAAAUCCACGGAGAGAAAGACGCCAGACACAGAAGCCCACAUGCUGUGUGAUUCCGGUUCUAUGAAAUGUCCAGAAUAGGAAAAUCUACGGAGAGAAAGACGCCAGACACAAAAGCCCACAUGCUGUGUGAUUCCAGUUCUAUGAAAUGUCCAGAACAGGCAAAUCCACGGAGAGAAAGACGCCAGACACAAAAGCCCACAUGCUGUGUGAUUCCGGUUCUAUGAAAUGUCCAGAAUAGGCAAAUCCACGAAGACAGAAAGUAGAUUGGUGGAUACCUAGGGCAUGGGGUGGGGAGAAGUGGGGAAUAACUGCCAACAGAUUUGCGGUUUCUCUUGGGGAAAUGGAAAUGUUCUGGAAUUACAUCGUGGCGAUGCAUGUACAGCAUAGUGAAUAUACUAAAGCCACUGAAGUAUAAACUUUAAAAUGA